rnacentral:rRNA from 1 species
CCUACGGGAGGCAGCAGUGAGGAAUAUUGGUCAAUGGACGAGAGUCUGAACCAGCCAAGUAGCGUGAAGGAUGACUGCCCUAUGGGUUGUAAACUUCUUUUAUAUGGGAAUAAAACGUUCCACGUGUGGGAUUUUGUAUGUACCAUAUGAAUAAGGAUCGGCUAACUCCGUGCCAGCAGCCGCGGUAAUACGGAGGAUCCGAGCGUUAUCCGGAUUUAUUGGGUUUAAAGGGAGCGUAGGUGGAUUGUUAAGUCAGUUGUGAAAGUUUGCGGCUCAACCGUAAAAUUGUAGUUGAAACUGGCAGUCUUGAGUACAGUAGAGGUGGGCGGAAUUCGUGGUGUAGCGGUGAAAUGCUUAGAUAUCACGAAGAACUCCGAUUGCGAAGGCAGUUCACUGGACUGCAACUGACACUGAGGCUCGAAAGUGUGGGUAUCAAACAGGAUUAGAUACCCGAGUAGUC